GAAUAUUGCGCAAUGGGGGAAACCCUGACGCAGCCAUGCCGCGUGUGUGAGGAAGGCCUUAGGGUUGUAAAGCUCUGUCCUAUAAGAAUAAUGGCAUUAGGGUUAAUACCCCUAGUGUUUGAAGGUACUAUAGAAGCAAGCACCGGCUAACCUCGUUCCAGCAGCCGCGGUAAUACGACGGGUGCAAGCGUUGUUCGGAUUUACUGGGCGUAAAGCGCGCGCAGGUGGAUCUGUAAGUCAGAUGUGAAAUCUCGGGGCUUAACCCCGAAACUGCGUCUGAAACUAUAGAUCUAGAGUCUCGGAGAGGGAUGGGGAAUUUCCUGUGUAGGGGUAAAAUCCGUAGAGAUAGGAAGGAACAUCAGGGGCGAAGGCGCCAUCCUGGACGAGUACUGACACUGAGGCGCGAAAGCGUGGGGAGCAAACAGG
rnacentral:rRNA from 1 species